AGAGUUUGAUCCUGGCUCAGAAUGAACGCUGGCGGCAUGCGUAACACAUGCAAGUUGAACGAAGAGUAGCAAUACUCUUAGUGGCAAACGGGUGAGUAACACGUGGGAAUUUGCCUUUUGGUGGGGAAUAACCGUAGGAAACUUCGGAUAAUACCGCAUAACCUUGGAAACAAGAAAAGAUUUAUCGCCAAAAGAUAAGCCCGCGGCAGAUUAGGUAGUUGGUGAGGUAAUGGCUCACCAAGCCUUUGAUCUGUAGCUGGUCUGAGGGGACGAUCAGCCACACUGGGAUUGAGAUACGGCCCAGACUCCUACGGGAGGCAGCAGUGAGGAAUAUUGGACAAUGGGGGAAACCCUGAUCCAGCAAUGCCGCGUGAAUGAAGAAGGCCUUCGGGUCGUAAAGUUCUUUCGCUCGCGAAGAUAAUGACUGUAGCGAGAUAAGAAGUCCG
rnacentral:rRNA from 1 species